UUAGUUUGGAACGUCAGGGGUUUGAACAACCCAGCUAGGAGAGCUGUGGUUAAGGAGGUGGUGUAUCGCAACAAUGUAUCCCUAGUUUGUUUGCAAGAAACGAAGCUAUCAUUCAUCGAUAGAGCUAUGGUGGCACAGUGCUGUGGCAAUGAGUUCUCGGAGUUUGCAUACCUACCCGCUGAGGGCACCAGAGGGGGUGUGCUGCUAGCAUGGAAAGGAAACCACUACUCCCUGCCCGGUGUCACCAUUCUCACACACGCCGUGGCUGUGACUGGGUGCAACGCCAAGGGAGAGCAACUGGGGAUCAUCGGUGUAUAUGGCCCGCAGAAUUGGGACGAGAAGGUGCAGUUUCUUCAAGAGCUCAGGCAUAUGGUGCAGAACUCGCUAUCAGCUGGGGUUGCCCUAGCCUUAGUCGGAGACUUCAACCUCAUCACGCGGGCAGCUGACAAGAACAACUCCCGGAUCAACCGUUGA
rnacentral:rRNA from 1 species